rnacentral:rRNA from 1 species
GACGAACGCUGGCGGCGUGCCUAAUACAUGCAAGUAGAACGAGCGGCGGACGGGUGAGUAAUGUCUGGGAAACUGCCUGAUGGAGGGGGAUAACUACUGGAAACGGUAGCUAAUACCGCAUACCACCAGAUUUGCCCAGAUGGGAUUAGCUAGUAGGUGGGGUAACGGCUCACCUAGGCGACGAUCCCUAGCUGGUCUGAGAGGAUGACCAGCCACACUGGAACUGCGACACGGGCCAGACUCCUACGGGAGGCAGCAGUGGGGAAUAUUGCACAAUGGGCGCAAGCCUGAUGCAGCCAUGCCGCGUGUGUGAAGAAGGCCUUCGGGUUGUAAAGCACUUUCAGCGGGGAGGCGUUACCCGCAGAAGAAGCACCGGCUAACUCCGUGCCAGCAGCCGCGGUAAUAC